UUAUUCAUAGAGAAGUCCCUGGAGCUGCCUUUGAAUUUUCUCAAGUUUGUCCUUUAGAGAGAAGGCCUUCUACUGCCCACACCAUUGAAGUCACAUCAAAGAGCAGCUCCGAGCAGUCCGUCGGACACAGCAGGACAUCAGCAGCCUGGGAUGCUGUUUGCUGCACCCAGCCUGAGCAGACCGGAGCCGCUGAGGGUGGCCGGGCCCACCCCUCGGCUCGCACAGUACGGAGGGAGGAUGCCGGUUGUCGCCCAGAGCCCAGAGAAGAGGCACCCGUGUGACCUGGAAUGAGCCGAGGCGUGGUGAAGAGGUAUUGGGAGGAGGCCAGAGAAGGGUUUUUAUGGUCCAGAAUGAUUCUGUUGCCAGCAUCUUCUGAUAGAAGGAAUUAACUUUUCCAGGCAGUGCAAUCAUGCUAUUUAUUAAAAGAAGCAUUGAACAAUCCGAAUGGACUUCAGAGCUGUGUCCUGAGCCAUCUGGCCAACUCUCGGGCAAGAAACUUCUUUGUUCUUUAGAGACCAAGCUUUUUCCCCAAGCACUAACAGAACUGAAAUGGAAGAAGUUGGAAUUAUUCGUCUUUGGUACGUAAAGAAUAGCUUACUAUUUAUGCAUACGAAGGGACAUUUUUAAAGGAAGGAAGCAAUUAGAGGAUGUUUUGUCCCCGCCUCAGUGACCUCUCCAUUUUAACCUUAGUCUUUUUA